rnacentral:rRNA from 1 species
GACGAACGCUGGCGGCGUGCUUAACACAUGCAAGUCGAACGAAGAGCGAUGGAAGCUUGCUUCUAUCAAUCUUAGUGGCGAACGGGUGAGUAACGCGUAAUCAACCUGCCCUUCAGAGGGGGACAACAGUUGGAAACGACUGCUAAUACCGCAUACGAUCCAAUCUCGGCAUCGAGGAUGGAUGAAAGGUGGCCUCUAUUUAUAAGCUAUCACUGAAGGAGGGGAUUGCGUCUGAUUAGCUAGUUGGAGGGGUAACGGCCCACCAAGGCGAUGAUCAGUAGCCGGUCUGAGAGGAUGAACGGCCACAUUGGGACUGAGACACGGCCCAGACUCCUACGGGAGGCAGCAGUGGGGAAUCUUCCGCAAUGGACGAAAGUCUGACGGAGCAACGCCGCGUGAGUGAUGACGGCCUUCGGGUCUUAAAGCUCUGUUAAUCGGGACGAAAGGCCUUCUUGCGA